rnacentral:ribozyme from 1 species
CCUUUCUUUUUUCUUUUCUUUUUUUUUCUUUUCUUUCUUUUCUUUUCU